AGAUGAGUUCUCCCUGACCCUUUAAGGGUCCUGAAGGAACGUUGAAGACGACGACGUUGAUAGGCCGGGUGUGUAAGCGCAGCGAUGCGUUGAGCUAACCGGUACUAAUGAACCGUGAGGCUUAACCUUACAACGCCGAAGCUGUU
rnacentral:rRNA from 1 species